rnacentral:rRNA from 1 species
CCUACGGGUGGCAGCAGUGGGGAAUAUUGCACAAUGGGGGAAACCCUGAUGCAGCGACGCCGCGUGAGUGAAGAAGUAAUUCGUUACGUAAAGCUCUAUCAGCAGGGAAGAAACACUGACCUUACGGUCAGCAGACGGUACCUGAGUAAGAAGCCCCGGCUAACUACGUGCCAGCAGCCGCGGUAAUACGUAGGGGGCAAGCGUUAUCCGGAUUUACUGGGUGUAAAGGGAUCGUAGAAGGUGCGCCAAGUCUGGAGUGAAAUGCCGCAGCUGAACUGCGGAACUGCUUUGGAAACUGGCGAACUAGAGUGCGGGAGGGGUAAGCGGAAUUCCUAGUGUAGCGGUGAAAUGCGUAGAUAUUAGGAGGAACACCGGUGGCGAAGGCGGCUUACUGGACCGUAACUGACGUUGAGGCUCGAAAGCGUGGGGAGCAAACAGGAUUAGAUACCCGGGUAGUC